UGAGUUAAAUGUGAAACACUGAAGUAUCAAGAUGAUAAUACAAUGGAAAUAAUAUUUUUUAAAGAUGUAAAUAAAACAAAGAUUGCAGUAUGCGUUGCAAGAAAAUACUAUUCAAGUCUUCUUCAAAAUUUCACAUUUAUUUCAGUGUUACUUACGGUUUCAUUGUAAUGAAUUGUACAAUUUAAUGAGUGAAAAUUGUUUCUACACAAUUUUUUUCAGGUGCUAUUUUUAGUUCCAAUAAUUCCUAUUCAUUUUCCAAUGGUUAUUUACAUCCCUGUGACAUAAUUGUUUAAAAAAUAUUUACUGCAAUACAAUGAUUUGUAUUCAAACUAGCAUAAAAGUAAGGAAACAUUUAGUUUUUCUCGUGAUUUGGGGGUUAAAUUUGACCCAGACAUGCUCUUUAAAUGAGAUUUAUUUCAUUCACAUCUCUGUGGUCCCAUACAUCCAAGUGAAAUGCAUUUAGGUCAUCUUACAACAUAAGAAAACAUUACGUUUGCAUGAUUAAAAUCUUUCUUAAAAUUACACAGACUAAAGGGGUUAUCUGGUCUCAUAGACCCAAAACACCAGAGAUACUUUAAAAUAACUCUGUUCAUGAGGUGCAUGGACUUGAUCCAGAAUAGUUCACCA